rnacentral:lncRNA from 1 species
UGUUUUAAAUUGAUUGAUUCCAGAUUUCCGCACUUCCAAACCACUAAAGUAUUCAAUUUCUUGAACAUUGACAGAUCUGGUAAAUUUUGGAGGCUUUCGCACUCAUAAACAUGUAGUAUUGAAAGAUGAGGUGGAAGUGGCGGAAAAGUCGACUGCAUUUCCAUAUUGUCAAUCUGUUUAACUGUUUCAAGCCAUAUAAAUUGGGUAGUUGUUCCAGUGUGGCAUUGUUGGAUACUUUUAACACUCUUAAGUUCAGAGGAACUUCUGGGAAGGAAGUUCCAAGACUUCUACAGUUCACUAAUUUAAGAUACUGUAGGUUGAAAAGCUUAGAAAGACUAAACGGUUUGGUUGAAGAGAAACUCUGGCCCUUAGGUUGAUAUUUAUGAUGAUUUUAGUGAUAAAAAUGAUACCUUAUCAAGAUUGGUGAGUAAACUGAUAUAUGUCCUUCACUCCGGUGACCAUUUUUAACCCGAUUUUGACACAGUACUUGAGGAAUUUCAUACAGCUCAAAAUAGCAGCAAACUACACCUCAAAUGCCUUCAUUUGCUUCAGAGCAGAUAUAAAUUGACACUAGAAGAGAGAAGGUGUUUUCUUUAUCACAUGAGCCCCACACAUCUCCACCUUCACUUUUCUGCAAAGUCUUUCUUCAUAAUAUCCAUCAAAAUAAGACAAUAUGCUGUGAAAUGAGACCUUGAUUCUAUCUCCACAUUUCAUUGGCAUGCUCUUUUGCCCUUUCAUUAUGUAUUGUAACCUUGACCCCAGUCCAACUGACAUUACACCUCUCCUUAUGCAUUCUACCCUCGAACCCACUGUAUCACCAAAUGCACUGGUGAGGUAAUUUAAUUCACAACCUUCUGUUUCGUUUCUGACAACUACUCUGAUGACUGGAUCACCCUUAUCGGUUUUGUAUCUAAAAACAAACCAGAGAGCAAAACCUAAGAAGUUAUCACCGAAGUUUGGCAGGAUAGCAAAAGAUAUAUUACAUCCAUUGCUUUUGUAGCUGAACCAUCUAGCAAUCUUUGUGUUUGGUAAAAAAGCUUCAAAUGAAGAUUUUAGUCCUACCUGCAACAGCAUUAUAUAUAUGGAUAUCUCAAAUUCUGGUUGUGUUAAUUGAGAUAAAAAGAUAGACAUUAACACCAACAAACCUGAACGGAGCUCUGUUUUAAAUUGAUUGAUUCCAGAUUUCUGCACUUCUGAACCAUUAAUAACUCCAAUUCUUUGAACAUUGACAGAUCUGGUAAAUCUUGCAGGCUACUGCAGUCAUAAACAUAUAGUAAAAAAAGAUGAGGUGGAAGUGGUGGAAGUGUUUGAAGUCUGCUGCAAUUCCACAUUGACAAUCUCUUUAACUGUUUCAGGCCGGAUAAAUCAGGUAGUUGUUCCAGUGUGGCAUAGUUGCCUACCGUUAACCCUCUUAAAUUCGGAGGGACUUCCGGGAAGGAAGAUCCAAGACUUCUACAAUUCACUAAUUCAAGAAACUGUAGGUUGAAAAGCUUAGAAAGACUAAACGGUUUGG